GAUGAACGCUGGCGGUAUGCCUAACACAUGCAAGUCGUACGAGAGUUUUUAACUCUAGUGGCGGACGGGUGAGUAACACGUGAGAAUUUGCCUUUAGGAGGGGGAUAACAAUUGGAAACGAAUGCUAAUACCCCAUAUGCUUUUGAGUGAAACGGAUUUAUCCGCCUAGAGAGAAGCUCGCGGCUGAUUAGCUUGUUGGUAAGGUAAGAGCUUACCAAGGCGACGAUCAGUAUCUGGUUUGAGAGGACGAUCAGACACGCUGGAACUGAGACACGGUCCAGACUCCUACGGGAGGCAGCAGUGGGGAAUUUUCCGCAAUGGGCGAAAGCCUGACGGAGCAAUACCGCGUGAGGGAAGACUGCCUAUGGGUUGUAAACCUCUUUUUCAGGGAGGAAUAAAUGACGUGUACCUGAAGAAUAAGCAUCGGCUAACUCCGUG
rnacentral:rRNA from 1 species